CCCAAGGGUCAGCAGGGUCAGCGAAAGGUUGCCUAAGAAGUUACCAUCAGUCCUUAGAGUCUGGAAAAUGAUGCAACACCAAACAAAACAAAACAGAAAGAACACCUCAAAUGCUACAAGUAUCUGGAAUAGGAGCAUCUGAUCAUGGGUCAUCCAGUGAGCAGUCAGGGACUAGGGCAGUAAGAGAUCAUUGUUAAGGAGAUUUGAGUAAAAAAAAAAUGGUGAUUGAACCCAGGUCCUCUAGCAUGUUUAUUACCACUGAGCUACAUCUACAUCUCUUUCUGAUUCUUUUGCUUAUUUACUAUACCGCAAGGGAAACAUGGAAUCUAGAUAAGGAUAUCAAUGUUUUUUGAAGAUUCUAAUGACUCCCUUGUAUUGUGUCUUCUCAAGAAGUAAGGGACCUGAAUGGUGAUGGCUGGGUAGAAUGCUAAAUGUAUGUAAGUGGAUCUCUAUAGUAUCUAAAAAGAUGUUGC